rnacentral:rRNA from 1 species
UACGUAGGAGGCGAGCGUUGUCCGGAGUUACUGGGCGUAAAGGGUGCGCAGGCGGCGGUUCGCGUGGAUAGAUGAAAUCUCCUGGCUUACCUGGGAGGAUGGUAUCCAGACGGGAUCGCUUGAGGGUCGGAGAGGGGCGUGGAAUUCCGGGUGGAGCGGUGAAAUGCGCAGAUAUCAGGAGGAACACCGGUGGCGAAGGCGGUUCUCUGGGCAUGUUCUGACGCUGAGGAGCGAAAGUGUGGGGAGCGAACAGG